CAAAGAAUAAUUAAACUUUAGAAUGUUGGCUUUGGGAGCCAGUAGUGGGAGUUAAAAUCUCCCUUCUUUGA
rnacentral:tRNA from 1 species